CAGUUCGGAUUGAAGGCUGAAAUUCGCCUUCAUGAAGCCGGAAUUGCUAGUAAUGGCAGGUCAGCAUACUGCCGUGAAUACGUUCCCGGGCCUUGUACACACCGCCCGUCACACCAUGAGAGUUGGGGAUACCCGAAGCCUGUGAGCUAACUUAACGGAGGCAGCAGUCGAAGGUAGAAUCAAUGAUUGGGGUGAAGUCGUAACAAGGUAAC
rnacentral:rRNA from 1 species